GACGAACGCUGGCGGCGUGCUUAACACAUGCAAGUCGAACGGUAAGGCCCUUCGGGGUACACGAGUGGCGAACGGGUGAGUAACACGUGGGUGAUCUGCCCUGCACUUCGGGAUAAGCCUGGGAAACUGGGCCUAAUACCGGAUAGGACUCCUGGCUUCAUGGUUGGGGGUGGAAAGCUUUUGCGGUGUGGGAUGGGCCCGCGGCCGAUCAGCUUGUUGGUGGGGUGAUGGCCUACCAAGGCGACGACGGGUAGCCGGCCUGAGAGGGUGACCGGCCACACUGGGACUGAGAUACGGCCCAGACUCCUACGGGAGGCAGCAGUGGGGAAUAUUGCACAAUGGGCGCAAGCCUGAUGCAGCGACGCCGCGUGAGGGAUGACGGCCCUCGGGUUGUAAACCUCUUUCAGCACCGACGAAGCGCAAGUGACGGUAGGUGCAGAAGAAGGACCGGCCAACUACGUGCCAGCCGCCGCAGUAA
rnacentral:rRNA from 1 species